ACACUUACGUGGUUCUUUUUUUUUUUUUUUUAAUGAUUUACUUAUUUUAUUUAUAUGAGUACACUGUAGCUGUCUUCAGACACAUCAGAAAGAAGAAUGCAUCAGAUCCCAUUAUAGAAGGUUGUGAGCCAUCCCAUGGUUGCUGGGAAUUGAACUCAGGACCUCUGGAAGAGCGGCCAGUGCUCUUAACUGCUGAGCCAUCUCUCCAGCCCCUCAAACUUGGUUCUUCACACUUGUGCAGUAAGCCCUUUAUUCACGGAGCCAUCCCUGUGUCAGGCUGUGUGCCUGUGCACCGGGGUAACUUCCUCCCCUGCCCUGCGGUGGUGGAGGGGGAGGGGUAAUUUCAUCCCUGCCCCAGGUUCAUUGCGAUGACUGGAUCACAGACAGAGACAGAUCACGGGUGACUGUCUGUGUGGAUUUCAAACCUAGUACUGGGUGGACUGUGAUGCUGUUGACCCAGGGACCGAAGACCACAGGUAAAAAGUUUCUAGAAGCUGCCCUGGUAUUUGCCUUGGCCUCUCUGUAGUGAACAGUCUGUGGUUCUGCGUCUGGGACCAAGAGAUGACCCUUGGGGAGGUAAAUGAUCACAGCCCCUGUGGGCUAUGGAGGCGUGAUGGCGGCAGGAACUGGGCUUGUGGGAGACACUCGUGGACAGAAAGAUGGGUGUUGCAAUGAGGGUGACUCUGUCUCCUCCCCUGACGUCACUAACAGCUCCUCAGGGGACGUAGGGGCUGUGAGCCAAGGGAUGCAGGCUCCCAGUGCACAGCACAGGGGGAUGCAGGACCACAACCUCAGGACACUGAUCCUGCCCCUGACAGGAGAUGGGGAUGGACCACGGCGGCUGUAUAAGGCGCUGGUGAGUAACCCUUCAGCCACUGCAAUGGCACGGCUCUAUCAGCUGACCCGUGUCUGCCUCUACAGUGGAACAAGCUGCAUCUGGGGCGCGGAGAUCAAGGACCAGGAGAGGCAGAAGGUCUAGAACUUGUGCAAGGCUCCCUGGGGCUAGAAGGAAGGGUUCAGCUCUGCUGGCAGCAGCUCCCAGGGCUGCAGGUAACAUUCUGAGGUCCCAAGUCACCUGCUCCACCUGUAGCCGAGCAUGGACCCCAGCGUGGACCAUGGGCUCUGACCUCACUGGCUGAAUCAUGGGAGUUAAGACAGACCCUGGAGAUGCGGCCAGGAGGGGGGAGAGUCAGGGGCCCUGACACAGCUCAGACACUCUCCUCCCAGCCAAUUGUCUACUGAGCAAGCAGCCCCGUUUUCCAGGAAAUUAUGUUUAAAAAUAGUCAGGGAGGAGGGGAGGCGGGGGCACCAGCUGGCUACGGGUGCGGUGCGUGAGGCCCAGUCAGCCCACGUCUGCCGGCAGCACCCAGGCAAGUGGUGACAAUACCCCUCAAGCUUCAGGCCAAUGUCUGCUGCCACACGUCUGGGUGACCUCGGCCAACAAAGGCCCCUGCCCUACUCCAUCCUGCCCCGGCACAGCUGUGUUCUCCGUAGCUCCUUCUGCCAGACUCCUGCAAGGUUUGCCCACUGCUGAGCGAGACCCUCACACAUCCCCCGCACAGCCACACUGCUCAACUGUGAAGGGCCCAGUGGCUGAUGGUGGCUCCCAUGCUGCAUGUACAGGUGACCUGUCUGUCUCUGAAAAGAGGCCUGGGACAUGAUCCCACUUCUGGCCACCCAAGAGAGGCAUCACACACCGCAUGGGGAUCUGUGUAGGUGCAUGCACGAGUGUGGUGUGGGGCUUCCACAUCGGAGGUGCCUGUUACGCAGCAGCAGCAGCAACGGACAGAGACAUGGCGGCUGUGCGAAGACCUCAAAAAGGAAGCGAAUGGUCUGCUGCUCUCAUACUGCACAGUGCAUCCUUGUCCCGGUGACCCACACACUGGAGCAACACAGGGGACCCAAACAAGAAAGCCAUACAAUAUCCAUGACAGGUCACACCCAGGGUGGGAGAACACAGAGGGGAACGCAUGUGUUCGUUGGUGGAUGCCUUAAACACAGAAGGCCUUCUCUGAGGGAUGUGAUGUUCUGGAACUAUGUAGAUUACCUGGCUGUAUAAUCUGAAGAUCACACAGGUGUGUAUAUCUUAAACAAGUGAUCCCUACAGUCUACCAAUUAUAGCUCGAGAUCCCAAAAUCAAAA